rnacentral:rRNA from 1 species
AAUCAACGCUGGCGGCGUGCCUCAGACAUGCAAGUCGAACGAUUAAAGCUCCCUUCGGGGAGUGCAUAAAGUGGCGCACGGGUGAGUAACACGUAAGUAAUCUACCCUCGAGUGGGGAAUAACAAUCGGAAACGGUUGCUAAUACCGCAUAAUGCAGCGGCAUCGCAGGAUGACAGUUGUUAAAGGAGUAAUUCGCUUGAGGAGGAGCUUGCGGCAGAUUAGCUAGUUGGUAAGGUAACGGCUUACCAAGGCUACGAUCUGUAUCCGGUCUAAGAGGACGGUCGGACACACUGACACUGAAUAACGGGUCAGACUCCUACGGGAGGCAGCAGUCGGGAAUUUUGGGCAAUGGGCGAAAGCCUGACCCAGCAACGCCGCGUGAAGGAUGAAGUAUUCGGGUUGUAAACCUCUUUCAGCUCCGACGAAGCGAGAGUGACGGUAGGAGCAGAAGAAGCACCGGCCAACUACGUGCCAGCCGCCGCCGUAA